rnacentral:rRNA from 1 species
CCUACGGGAGGCAGCAGUGAGGAAUAUUGGUCAAUGGACGCAAGUCUGAACCAGCCAUGCCGCGUGCAGGAAGACGGCUCUAUGAGUUGUAAACUGCUUUUGUACGAGGGUAAACGCAGAUACGCGUAUCUGUCUGAAAGUAUCGUACGAAUAAGGAUCGGCUAACUCCGUGCCAGCCGCCGCGGUAAUACGGAGGAUUCAAGCGUUAUCCGGAUUUAUUGGGUUUAAAGGGUGCGUAGGCGGUCGGAUAAGUUAGAGGUGAAAUCCCGAGGCUCAACUUCGGAAUUGCCUCUGAUACUGUUCGGCUAGAGAGGAGUUGCGGUAGGCGGAAUGUAUGGUGUAGCGGUGAAAUGCUUAGAGAUCAUACAGAACACCGAUUGCGAAGGCAGCUUACCAAGCUACUUCUGACGUUGAGGCACGAAAGCGUGGGGAGCAAACAGGAUUAGAUACCCCAGUAGUC